rnacentral:tRNA from 1 species
GGAAGAAGAACUGGUCGGGGACCAGGCCUGUUUGGAAAACAGUGCGCACCUUUGUAGGUGUGAGGUUCGAGUCCUCCUUCUUCCG